rnacentral:tRNA from 1 species
UCCCUGGUGGCUCAGAGGUUAAAGCGUCUGCCUGCAAGGCAGGAGACCCAGGUUCAAUCCCUGGGUUGGGAA